AACACUGUUGCUAGGCAACAACUAGCUACUGACUGAGGCGGCGAUCUCGAUGUCCAACGCCAUCUUGACGUUCAGCAGGUCCUGAUACUCGCGCAGCUGCCGCUCGAGUGCGUCGUUGUGAUUGCGUAGGGCGUCGAUCUCCAGCGUACGCGCCUGAACCUGGCGUCGGCAUGCGCUCAGCUCAUCUCUGGUCUGUUUGAUGGCGUCGGUGUCGCGUGAUGUCGCCUGGGUCACGCUGGCGAACUUGGAGCGGUACCAGUCCUCCGCCUGCUGCUGGUUCCGCGAGGACAGAACCUCGUACUGCGCCCGGAUGUCCUUCAGAGCCACGAGUGGACGUGAGCUGCAGUGACGGUGCUGAGAGCUGAGACGUGCACUACAGAGUGCUGAUUCAGGACCACACGCCCCACACGAGAGAUGAUGCUGCCAAUGAGCUUCGACACACUGCAAAAUCCGCAGUGCUGAAUCACUGACUGCUGAAUUAACACCUCACACUGCUCUGUCAUUAACACUGAUACAGCUUACAGACCUGCAGCCUUAAAAUACAUCUUUAGGUGUUCAUUUAGUGUCCCAGUAAUGUCAUUUACCUGUAAGUAUUACUUCAGCACUGCAGUGUCAAAGAACAAAUAUUGUAGUGUUGCUUUAGUCAUUAUAUUAAACAUCAUACUUCUU